CCUUUUUUCAGGUAUAAAGACUUUAUACCACUUUCCAUAUGGGAAUGAACAGCUUACCAGUAGAAAUUGCAUUUAUCAUGCAGUGUCCAUUAACCUCUAUAUAAAUGUAAAUAUGGCUGUGGUUUCAGUGUUGAAAAUGGUGGAUGAUAUAGUACCUUUGUCGAAAUAUGUAAGAAUACAAUAUAUUGAGAAUAUCAUAUGGCGUUUUCAAUAUCGCAUCCGUAUCAACCCGAGACACCAAUAUAAUCCCAAGAGCUCUGAGGGUUGAUACGGUGUGUGAUAGUGAACAACCCAUAUCAUAUACACUUUAUUAUAUACAUAUUCCUCAAGUAGAUGUUUUUUAUGUAACAUGACGUCAUACAGAUUAGGGUUUUGAUAAAGCCUUUGCAACAGUGACUGCAAUCGAUGACGUGACAUCAUACAGAUUAGAGGUGUGAUAAAGCUUUUGCAACUGUGCUGAUUUCGAUAUCAUCACGGGUGGCUGAUACAGCACGCUUGCCAUUGAUAGUAUUACACAUACAAUUUAUCUGUAUUUACCACUAAGUAUAUAAUAAAUUCAUUUAUGUGUUUUAUCAUCAUUUUAUACCAUUCUAUUACGGAAAGAAUAUAGAAUUGUUUUUUGCUCAUAAAUAAAUCCAACCUAAUGAGGUUCCCUAAUGGAAAUGCUUGUUUGCUAAACUGUUCUAUAUGAUAAAUCAAGUAUAAAUUUCAACUAUAACACCUGUUUAUUUGAAGAUUUUUAUUUGGAAUUCUCAAAUCAUUUAUAUGAUCACAAUCUGGUGUUUCAAUCAAUAUCACUAUAAUGCAUUAUGAUAAAAGAGUAGCACAUAAGUAUACAAAUGUAGAAGAAAUGGACAUAAGUUAACAAAAUUAUGUAAAUCACAGGUUACCAUUAUUAAAGGGGUUAUCUAUGCUUGGCAAUGUUAAUUCUUUUUUUUUUUAUUUAAGCACUGACAGAAUUGCCUGAAGGAAAGUAAUAGUUAUUCUAAUUAUAUUAUUGUAAAAAAUUUCUCAGAUUGAAGAAGAAUUGAAAGAUAAAACUUACCUGUGGGUUAAAUCUACCCUGCAGAAAGUGAAUGCAGAACAGCAGAGGAAGAAGAGUGUAUGGAUGCCGUAAAGAGCUGGUCUCGACUAGUCAUAGAGGGACGGAAGUAAGUAUAAUGUUUUUCAAAAUAAUUUUUAUCAUUUAGUGUGUAUAUAUUAAUAUAAAAAUGAGGAAAUGAUGUAUGAAUUCCAAUGAGACAACUCUCCACAAGAGACCAAAUUACACAGAAAUUAACAAUUACAGGUCAAAU
rnacentral:lncRNA from 1 species